UUCGUAGGUGGCCAACUAAGUCAGACGUGAAAUCCCUCAGCUUAACUGGGGAACUGCGUCUGAUACUGGUGUGGCUUGAGUGCAGGAGAGGAACGCGGAAUUCCAGGUGUAGCGGUGAAAUGCGUAGAUAUCUGGAGGAACACCGGUGGCGAAGGCGGCGUUCUGGACUGCAACUGACACUGAGGAACAAAGCCAGGGAGCAAACG
rnacentral:rRNA from 1 species